GGGGGUGUAGUGCAGUGGUAGAGCUCAUGCCUAGCAAGUGUGAAGCCCUAGGUUCAAUCCCAGUCCCCCCC
rnacentral:tRNA from 1 species